ACAACAUUCGGACUGUUGGUCUACCGAGCAAUAUCACUCGAUCGGUAAGAUCUUCUCUUCGACGU
rnacentral:pre_miRNA from 1 species